rnacentral:tRNA from 1 species
AAACAGAUAGUUUAAACAAAAAUAUUUGGUUUCGGCCCACAAGAUAUCUUACUGAUUCUGUUUU